UGAAUGGAGAGUUUGAUCCUGGCUCAGGACGAACGCUGGCGGCGUGCUUAACACAUGCAAGUCGAACGGUGACCCGGAGCUUGCUCCGGUGAUCAGUGGCGAACGGGUGAGUAACACGUGGGCAACCUGCCCCUGACUUCGGGAUAACUCCUCGAAAGAGGAGCUAAUACCGAAUACGAACCCUGCAGGCAUCUGCGGGGUUGGAAAGUUUUUCGGUCAGGGAUGGGCCCGCGGCCUAUCAGCUUGUUGGUGAGGUAACGGCUCACCAAGGCGACGACGGGUAGCCGGCCUGAGAGGGCGACCGGCCACACUGGGACUGAGACACGGCCCAGACUCCUACGGGAGGCAGCAGUGGGGAAUAUUGC
rnacentral:rRNA from 1 species